GUAUUCGGGCUCCAGGGGUUAACUUGGGUGAGCCAGUGGCACGCCGUGAUCGUAUAGUGGUUAGUACUCUGCGUUGUGGCCGCAGCAACCCCGGUUCGAAUCCGGGUCACGGCAACACUCUGGCGUUGAGUGUACGGGAAGGUUGACAAUUUUGUACCACCUCAUCUUUCUUCUCUAUUUUGUUUUUGACGCUUGGCCUGUGCAGGGAGCCACCAGACAAGGGGGCAGGCAGCCUACUGCUAGACGUAGUCGUGGCCGAGAGGUUAAGGCGAUGGACUUGAAAUCCAUUGGGGUCUCCCCGCGCAGGUUCGAACCCUGCCGACUACGGGAGGGCUUUGCAGUGUUGCUUUAGCUUUCUGUGAUGGUAAUUGUGCCUUCUAUGGUCCUUUGUCCUAACUGCUUCUAGCUUUCAUCCCGUGACACCUGCGUCUCUUCUGGGCAGCUUGUUGUAAAACUGCUGUUAUAUAAAAGGUGAGAUGCCAGUGCUCCACAAGAGCCCGGAUAGCUCAGUCGGUAGAGCAUCAGACUUUUAAUCUGAGGGUCCAGGGUUCAAGUCCCUGUUCGGGCGAAGCUCUUUCUUUGGCCUCACCUUGCUAUCACUACGGUCCAUCUCUUCUGCUGACUCUGUACUGGAACGGUGUUCCUUCCUGCUCCCAGGGAUCAAGGGAUCUCCCUUGUGGUUAGUGACAAAUGAACAAGGCAAAAAAACACAUAAAGAACAAUGGUGCCUGGGAUUUUUGAGAACCGGAGCUUGUAGCCUAGAAUUUUUCUUUGUAAAUUAUGUGAAAAUCAUCUUGUUUACUCACUUACAGAAAACAAUACAUUGAUUAAAAUGUUCUAAGACACUUUUUGUUGGUAAAAGUCAUAUGCGAGUAGGCGUCAACUAUCAUGAAUAUCAUUGUGAUUUACACCUGAGAAGACAAAGCCCUGCAUAAUGAGCUGCAUAAAGAGCCGCUCAGUCAGCUGUUGUCACUGAGAGGGAGGUGUUACAAGAAAGAACUUGAGAACAAAAUGAAUGUAUAUAAUUUUAAGUUUGGAGUUUAUUUAGAAUAUAUUUAAUUAUCCCACAACAUAAUUUAAUAUACGGGAGCAGUUAAACAGUUUAUUAGGAACAAUCAAAGCUGACUUUCAAACUAAUUUUAUUUUUGCAUUAUUACUCCAGUCACACAAUCCUUAAGAAAUCCUUUUAACAAUCUGAAUUUCUAAAAAAAAAAAAAAAAAAAAAAAACAUUUAUUGUUAUCAUUAUUAUUAAUCUUGAAAAUAGCUGAGAAUAUUUUUCAUGUUUUUUUAUGGUGGUUAAUUAAAAGAACACCAUUUUUUGUUACAUUUACAUGUAUUUGUUACAUUUAUAUUAUUUACAUCAAGCUUUUGAGUGGUAUAGUUUUGUAUAUUGUUAUUGAAACUUCAUAAUAUUUAACUUAAUUAUACAUUUAGUCAAGAAUUAUAGUUUGGAAAAAGUCUAACUAGUAAAAUGUUUAGACGUUAUGUGAAAACUAGUACAAGUAUAUAAAUAAAUAUAAAGAGACUUACUCAUGUUUAUGAUCUCUGCUGAAUAAAGUGCUUCAUUCUUUUUUUUCUGAGGAAAUCCAUUUCUCAAAUCCUCAACCACGUCACAUCUUUUUGGGGUGAAUUAUGUGUUAUUCCUCUCAUCGCGAAGCAAACAGUAAAAUAAAAGCACUUGAACAACAGUCUGGCUGCUUUUUCUUCUGUGUGGGCGUAUUCAAGCCGCGCUUCAGUUUGAAUCUGAAUAGAG